UACAGAGGGGGCAAGCGUUGCUCGGAAUCACUGGGCGUAAAGGGCGCGUAGGCGGGAUGGCAAGUCAGUCGUGAAAUCUCUCGGCUCAACCGAGAAACGUCGGCUGAUACUGCCGUUCUUGAGGGAUGCAGAGGAGACUGGAAUUCCCGGUGUAGCGGUGGAAUGCGUAGAGAUCGGGAAGAACAUCAGUGGCGAAGGCGGCCUGCUGGGCUGUUGCUGACGCUGAGGCGCGACAGCGUGGGGAGCAAACAGG
rnacentral:rRNA from 1 species